rnacentral:rRNA from 1 species
CCCGCUCAGAAACUUAAAGGAAUUGACGGGGCCCGCACAAGCGGUGGAGUAUGUGGUUUAAUUCGAUGCAACGCGAAGAACCUUACCUGGUCUUGACAUCCCGGAGACCCUUAGGAAACUAGGGGGUGCUUCCAUCUGGAAGAAUCUGGAGACAGGUGCUGCAUGGCUGUCGUCAGCUCGUGUCGUGAGAUGUUGGGUUAAGUCCCGCAACGAGCGCAACCCUUGCCUUUAGUUGCCAGCAGUUCGGCUGGGCACUCUAAAGGGACUGCCGGUGUUAAACCGGAGGAAGGUAGGGAUGACGUCAAGUCCUCAUGGCCUUUAUGACCAGGGCUACACACGUACUACAAUGGCCGAUACAAAGGGCAGCGACACUGCGAGGUGAAGCCAAUCCCGUAAAAUCGGUCUCAGUCCGGAUUGGAGUCUGCAACUCGACUCCAUGAAGUUGGAAUCGCUAGUAAUCGCGCAUCAGCCACGGCGCGGUGAAUACGUUCCCGGGCCUU